GUCGUUCCGCUUCGCCGCCUGCGCCAAGCUGCCGCCGAGUUCUUUUUUUUUUGAAUGGGCUAACCCCCUUUCCAUUGCAAAGAACGGAAAUACAAAUAGUUCAAGAAACAUUGAGAAGAAAAGAGAGGUAGCGAGUUCAACACACUGCUAGAAAACCCACCGCAUUCGCCCGUCAUCGAACAAAUGCUAUGGGGCCUGACAGCACCAAAAUGAACUAGCCUAUUACAAGCCGAGAACAACGGGGCACAAACCCAGAAACAGCUGGGGUAUGAGAUGAAAAUAGUUCGGGCAACAAAGGCCCUGGCAUGGUUAUCAGUACCAGGAGACCCUGUUGGGCUGUGUUUGUUUGUGUGUGUGUGCUAUGGCCCAAAGGGCCCAUACCUGUAGCAUAUAUAUGUAUGUAUAGCAGCUGAGUAAGAGAAUAGAGAUUCUAGUGUUUUCCCCAACCCACUGUCUUCAUGGUGUCAGAGCCCAGGCGAUGGCGACCGAGAUCUAGCUGCUGCCGGUGAAGUGGUGAUGCAGCGGUGACGUCAGGCUGCAUAGGAGGUUUUUGGGUAGUUUGUGGUGGUGCAGAACACCGGAGCCCAACUGUGGGUGUUGCGGCGGCGGGAUUGGCGGACGGUGAGACGGGGAGCAGAUUGUGGAGGUCGUUGGUGGUAAUCGGCGGCGUGCAGCGGAGCUCCGACAUCAGCCGACAAGCGUGCAGCCAGAGAAUAAGCUCCAGGCACGGGCAGCAGUACCAGGCGGAGGAAUACUACUGCCCAGGCAGAGGCGCUGUGCAGUUGCGGAGGCCACGGCCUGCUGCGCGCGUGCGUACAACCACUUGCAGGCCUGCGGUGCUGGGAUGUGGUGGUGAAGGCAGGAAGCUGGGUGAGAUCCCCUUCAGUUGUGGCGGCUAGUAGGUUGCAAGGGAGGUGCCUGGUGCGUGCUGUGUGUGGGAGCAGAGGAAAGGGGAUCUGGCGAGGUAGUUAAGAGGAAGAUUACUUGUUGCUUCAGCAAGUAGAGAAGAGAAGAGGAACAGCUCUGCUUGUUGCAGUGCUUGAGAAGUGAGUUCAUUACUGAACCAUGGGGGAGAAUCAGGGGAUUCAACAAGUUCUUGAAAAUUUGGCUCAACUUAUCACUGCAAAGGCAAGGGAUGCAUCAUCUAGCAAUGCAAAUCAUGCCAUGUACCGAGCCGACACAGAAAAUUGAGUUGAUGCCAAAUGACAUCAAAUUGAAGGGUAUCAAGAAUUAUUUGAGCUGGUCGAGGAGGGCAUUGCUGAUUUUGAAGACAAAGGGACUUGAGAACAUUGUUGAGGAGGAAUCAACUGAGCCAGCAGAUAAGACAAGUGCGGAGUGGAGGACAUGGAGUACUACCAACUCAUUGGUGGUGGCAUGGUUGUUAAAUUCUUUGUCAUCGAGCAUUGCUGCAACUGUUGAAACCAUCUCAAGUGCAUCUGAGGUGUGGAAGACUUUAUCGAAACUCUGGAAAAGGAAAUGUGAUGCUGAUGGUUGAGACACAAGAGAGAGUUAGUGAUCUGAGGCAGGGGGUACUCUGUAAUGGAGUAUGUUGCUGAGUUGCAGCGAUUAUGGGCUGACUUAGAUCACUAUGACCCUCUCGAGUUGCCACAUGCAGAUUGCAUACCUAGUGUUAAGAAGUAGAUUGAACGCAGGAGGGUGAUAGAAUUCCUUAAGGGUUUGUAUUCAGAAUUUGAAGGGAGACGAGCUACUAUGUUCCACCAACCCACUCUUCCCAAUCUGGAGGAAGCUAUAGCAACAAUUUCACAAGAGGAGAUCAGCUGAAAGUGAUGAAGAACAAUGUAGCAACUCCAUCACGUUCUGCCUUCAUAGUAACCAGAAACAAUGAGACCAGAGAUUGUUUCAACUGUGGUGAGACGGACUUGAGUCGUAAUUGUCAUGCCCCGCGCAGGCCAACCCGUGGAAGGGGUAGAGGAUAUGACCGAGGUGGACCAAGAGGAGGUAGGGGUCGAGGAUAUAGGAUUGGUCACAAAGCAAAUGUGGUGAUACAAGAAGAGAUAUCCCAUGGCAAAGUUGAAGUCUCUGUAAAAGAGUUAGAAGAGUUGAGGAAAUUGAAAAAGAAGAUGGAGAGUACUACGGGUGAUAAAGUCCAAAGGGACUCCACAUUUGGUGAUUUUGCUCACUUUGCCUAUGCUAAUGAAGGAGAGGGAGACAGGGAGGAAGCUUGGGACCGGAACCAGGCGUAAUGGGCUAUGGUACAUGGAUCGUGAGGUGCCAAACAAUGUAGUGUCUACGGUGUUAGCAGUAAUGAUGGGCGAGAAAGAAGCUACGGUGAUGCUUCUGCAUUGUAGAAUGGGGCACAUGUCUUUUGAUAAAAUGAGCAAGGUCUUUCUUGAUGUAAUGUGUGGAGUGGAUAAGAACAAGCUUUUGUGUGAUGCUUGUGAGUUUGGCAAACACACAAGGACAUCUUAUGUGAGUAGAGGGAUUAGGAGUAUAUCUCCUUUUGUACUUGUUCAUUCUGAUGUGUGGACAUGUCCUGUUAUCUCUCUUAGUGGAAUGAAGUAUUUUGUUACAUUUAUUGA